rnacentral:rRNA from 1 species
GGUUAAGUGACUAAGCGUACACGGUGGAUGCCUGGGCAGUCAGAGGCGAUGAAGGACGUACUAACUUGCGAUAAGCGCAGAUGAGGCAGUAAGAGCCGUUUGAGUCUGCGAUUUCCGAAUGGGGAAACCCAACUGCAUAAGCAGUUACUGUUAACUGAAUACAUAGGUUAACAGAGCAAACCGGGGGAACUGAAACAUCUAAGUACCCCGAGGAGAAGAAAUCAACCGAGAUUCCGGUAGUAGCGGCGAGCGAACCUGGAUUAGCCCUUAAGCACUCGGUGAAGUAGGUGAACAAGCUGGAAAGCUUGGCGAUACAGGGUGAUAGCCCCGUAACCGACGCUUCAUCGAGCGUGAAAUCGAGUAGGGCGGGACACGUGAUAUCCUGUCUGAAUAUGGGGGGACCAUCCUCCAAGGCUAAAUACUCCUGACUGACCGAUAGUGAACCAGUACCGUGAGGGAAAGGCGAAAAGAACCCCUGUGAGGGGAGUGAAAUAGAACCUGAAACCGUGUACGUACAAGCAGUAGGAGCACCUUCGUGGUGUGACUGCGUACCUUUUGUAUAAUGGGUCAGCGACUUAUAUUCAGUGGCAAGGUUAACCGUAUAGGGGAGCCGUAGCGAAAGCGAGUCUUAACUGGGCGCUCAGUCUCUGGAUAUAGACCCGAAACCGGGUGAUCUAGCCAUGGGCAGGUUGAAGGUUGAGUAACAUCAACUGGAGGACCGAACCGACUAAUGUUGAAAAAUUAGCGGAUGACUUGUGGCUAGGGGUGAAAGGCCAAUCAAACUCGGAGAUAGCUGGUUCUCCCCGAAAGCUAUUUAGGUAGCGCCUCGGACGAAUACUACUGGGGGUAGAGCACUGUUAAGGCUAGGGGGUCAUCCCGACUUACCAACCCUUUGCAAACUCCGAAUACCAGUAAGUACUAUCCGGGAGACACACGGCGGGUGCUAACGUCCGUCGUGGAGAGGGAAACAACCCAGACCGCCAGCUAAGGUCCCAAAGUAUUGCUAAGUGGGAAACGAUGUGGGAAGGCUCAGACAGCUAGGAUGUUGGCUUAGAAGCAGCCAUCAUUUAAAGAAAGCGUAAUAGCUCACUAGUCGAGUCGGCCUGCGCGGAAGAUGUAACGGGGCUAAGCAAUACACCGAAGCUGCGGCAAUAUCUUUUAGAUAUUGGGUAGGGGAGCGUUCUGUAAGCCGUUGAAGGUGAAUCGUAAGGUUUGCUGGAGGUAUCAGAAGUGCGAAUGCUGACAUGAGUAACGACAAAGGGGGUGAAAAACCUCCUCGCCGGAAGACCAAGGGUUCCUGUCCAACGUUAAUCGGGGCAGGGUGAGUCGACCCCUAAGGUGAGGCCGAAAGGCGUAAUCGAUGGGAAACGGGUUAAUAUUCCCGUACUUCUGACUAUUGCGAUGGGGGGACGGAGAAGGCUAGGUGGGCCAGGCGACGGUUGUCCUGGUUCAAGUGCGUAGGCUUGAGAGUUAGGUAAAUCCGGCUCUCUCUAAGGCUGAGACACGACGUCGAGCUGCUACGGCAGUGAAGUCAUUGAUGCCAUGCUUCCAGGAAAAGCCUCUAAGCUUC